rnacentral:rRNA from 1 species
UACAUAGCCCUCAAGCGUUAUCCGGAAUCAUUGGGCGUAAAGCGUACCGAUGGGUGGUUUACCAAGUCAGAAGUGAAAUCUCCGAGCUCAACUCGGAAUCUGUCUUUUGAAACUGGUAGACUAGAGGGGCAAAGAGGAAGCUGGAACGAACGGUGUAGUAGUGAAAUGCGCAGAUAUCAGGAGGAACACCGGUGGCGAAGGCGGGUCUCUGGGCCGAUACUGACGCUGAGGAGCGAAAGCGUGGGGAGCGAACAGG